AUUGAACGCUGGCGGCAGGCCUAACACAUGCAAGUCGAACGAGUGGCGGACGGGUGAGUAAUGUCUGGGAAACUGCCUGAUGGAGGGGGAUAACUACUGGAAACGGUAGCUAAUACCGCAUACCAUCAGAUGUGCCCAGAUGGGAUUAGCUAGUUGGUGGGGUAAAGGCUCACCAAGGCGACUAUCCCUAGCUGGUCUGAGAGGAUGACCAGCCAGACUGGAAGUGAGACACGGUCCAGACUCCGAUGUGAGGCAGCAGUGGGGAAUAUUGAACAAUGGGCGCAAGCCUGAUACAGCCAUGCCGCGUGUAUGAAGAAGGCCUACGGGUUGUAAAGUACUUUCAGCGGGGAGGCGUUACCCGCAGAAGAAGCACCGGCUAACUCCGUGCCAGCAGCCGCGGUAAUAC
rnacentral:rRNA from 1 species